rnacentral:rRNA from 1 species
AACGAACGCUGGCGGCAGGCUUAACACAUGCAAGUCGAACGCCCUCUUCGGAGGGAGUGGCAGACGGGUGAGUAACGCGUGGGAACCUACCCAAUAGUACGGAAUAACUCAGAGAAAUUUGUGCUAAUACCGUAUACGCCCUUCGGGGGAAAGAUUUAUCGCUAUUGGAUGGGCCCGCGUUGGAUUAGGUAGUUGGUGGGGUAAUGGC